UGCGUAGGCGGCGCGGAAAGUUGGGUGUGAAAUCCCUCGGCUCAACCGAGGAAUUGCGCCCAAAACUUCCGUGCUCGAGGAAGAUAGAGGUGAGCGGAACUUAGGGUGGAGCGGUGAAAUGCGUUGAUAUCCUAAGGAACACCGGUGGCGAAAGCGGCUCACUGGACCUUUUCUGACGCUGAGGCACGAAAGCUAGGGUAGCGAAG
rnacentral:rRNA from 1 species